rnacentral:misc_RNA from 1 species
AGGUAGUUCAAAUUUGUAAACUGUGGAUGUCUUGCUAUUUUCCAUGUGAUUUUGGGAGAUCUCUAAAAAGCCAGUUAGAGCCUGGAAUGAGUUCGCAUCUUCAUUCAAGAUGGGCACCAAAAGCCGCAUACUUUUGGGGAGUUAGUUCUUCCGGCAUUGAAUACACCUUGGCCAUGUCCAAUGCGUUUUCCGGAGUACACUCCAAUUUUGACGAUUUCAUAGUUGAUUUAGGAUAUGAUUUUGAGACCUUUCGCUUUUGUGGUUUCUCCCGCAUUUUUUAGAUACCAAAA